rnacentral:rRNA from 1 species
AUUGAACGCUGGCGGCAGGCCUAACACAUGCAAGUCGAACGGUAACAGGAGGAAGCUUGCUUCUUUGCUGACGAGUGGCGGACGGGUGAGUAAUGUCUGGGAAACUGCCUGAUGGAGGGGGAUAACUACUGGAAACGGUAGCUAAUACCGCAUAACGUCGCAAGACCAAAGAGGGGGACCUUCGGGCCUCUUGCCAUCGGGUGUGCCCAGAUGGGAUUAGCUAGUAGGUGGGGUAACGGCUCACCUAGGCGACGAUCCCUAGCUGGUCUGAGAGGAUGACCAGCCACACUGGAACUGAGACACGGUCCAGACUCCUACGGGAGGCAGCAGUGGGGAAUAUUGCACAAUGGGCGCAAGCCUGAUGCAGCCAUGCCGCGUGUAUGAAGAAGGCCUUCGGGUUGUAAAGUACUUUCAGCGGGGAGGAAGGGAGUAAAGUUAAUACCUUUGCUCAUUGACGUUACCCGCAGAAGAAGCACCGGCUAACUCCGUG